UUUAUCGGAGAGUUUGAUCCUGGCUCAGGACGAACGCUGGCGGCGUGCCUAAUACAUGCAAGUCGAGCGGACAGAUGGGAGCUUGC
rnacentral:rRNA from 1 species